rnacentral:lncRNA from 1 species
UAGAGGUCCUGAAUAUGAGACUUUCAAAAAAGUCAAUUUGGAUCUUUUACUGAAAACAGUAAGUUGACAAAUUGGUUUCUUUGUUAGUAGAUGUAAUAAAGGUUUCCAAUAAUAUAUCAGUAAAGGGUCUUUGCCUGUAGACUAAGUGGAUUGUGAUUUUGUAAUUGUGAUAAAUUAUGGAAUUAGAAACAAGAGAAUGCUGGAAUUGAGGCAAUACCAGUUUCUUGCUUCUGAAUAGCCACAUCAUAGCAUACCCUUUCAUUGCUGCAUGUAAUCCAUAACUCCAAAUUUGAGCAAAUCUACCCUGAAAUAUGACCGGAUAAAUGAUGUAGGUACAUACAUGUACAUCUAGUUUUCAUUACUUUAAAAUAGAUUAGACCCUUCUUCCAUGUACUUAUAAUAGAAACAUUUAGGUUUAAGAAAAAUCAGUACUUGUAAAAAUUUUUUUUUGUUGCUUUGCUAUUUCUUAAAUAGAUGUACAUGUACAUGAUUAUUGUUACCCAUCCCCAUAUAAAAUUAAAUGCAAAGUAUAACAAAUGAAAUAGGCAAUCAUGUAGGUUGAUGCUUGUUUUUUGUUGCUAAAUUUUGUCCAUUGUCUGUUAUAUAAUUGCUGUUUUGGGGGUUGUCUGACAUAUCUCCUCGGAUGGAUGCCCAUAUGAAAUGUGGAAAUUGUUCCAAUUUACACUGUGACUGAUGCUCAAAUGACAGAUGCUACCAACAAGAAUAACAUUUGUUCCUUGUUCACGACUUGAAGCACAAGCUCCCCUAAUCCUAGACAUUUCUUGAAUGUACAUGUAAAAAGUAACCUUUUAAGGAAAAUGCUUUUGUUAGAUUUAGAUUUAUUGGAUCAUAUCAGUGGAACAUGGGAAUGGUAUCUCAAGUAGCCAAAAUAUAGUGCAGUGACGUGAGACUUUGAUUGAGGUGAAACAGUUUAAAUGAGGCAAGUUUGAGUUUAAUAGAAUGCCUUUCUUUCACAGAAUGCGAAAUUCUGUACAAUCACGCAAAGUUGAACAUUCAUUAAUUGGGAUUUUACACCACCGUUGAAGUGGAACAUUGCAGAUUGUUCUCCAAUGAUUUAUUCAUUAGAAUUGCAUGCCACAAUGACAAGAACCUUCUGAACCUUCUGAAGUUUGCACCGGCAGGGAGUAGACCGCAAAGCGCCAGAGUGCUGCUCAUGUGUGGGUUAGAGUGUUGCUCUAAAACUUUCUACUGAUGUUUUGUUUUUUAUAUGAGGAUUCAAAUCAGAAGAAAAAGAAAAAUUAUUGAGCUGGUGGUUUAAUUCUUACGUAAGCACCCAACAUUGCUAAAAUUUCCAUGUCUGUGUAUCUCCAUUGCUGCAUGUUAAGAGAAACUUGAAAAAAUAAAACAUUGAUACACUGAAUAUAAGAAAUAUCCAUAGGCUAAAUUAUUUCUAAUACAUUAUUUGCUGUGAUAGCAAUACGAUCGGUACCAUUUGCUCAGAGUCAAGAAACGGUCAAGUCAAGAAACAGUCCAGGCAGAGCAAUUUUUGUAGAUUUUGUCAUUUGAGCAUCUUGUUGGUCUACUGGGCUGGGGUAUAUGUCAUGUUUUGUGGAUAUGUCAACAUAAAACAAUUGUCAUGUGAGCUUAUUUUGUAAAAAUUACUGUUUAUCACAGCUGGAUUUGUUUUGAAAGCAUGACACGUUUUUAUGUCAUUUUUUUGCAAAAGCUUUAUUAAACAUCCUGAUGAGUGUAUACUUUCUAGAUUUCAAUGAUUUGAAAUAAACGAAGAUUGGCUGUAAAUGGUGACUAGUUUGAAUAUUAAAUUUAGAUUUAAUCUUUAAAUCUCAACAGAUUUGAAUCAAAAUCUCUUAGAGUUAUGUUUAAAUCAACAAGUGUUAAUAUUCGGUUGAUCACUAUUAACAGCUGAUUCAGAUUUAUUUUAAAUCCUUGGAAUUGAGAUAGUAGUAAACUAGUAUGGGUAUGAUUUUAGACAACAAUUUUACUAUAAUAACUCUAAUUA